ACUUCCGCCCACAAUGGCGCCAGGUAUAGGGCCCUGUGACAACUGUAAAAUGAUCAAUGGAAUCGGCUUUAAUCCUCACCCUGAUGACUGUGAUAAGUUCGUGCAGUGUUACUUCGGAACAAAGGGACAGCUUCGGGUGGCUUACCGACAGUGUCCGUUCGGACAAUACUGGGACCAGAGUGUUCUUACGUGUCGCCCUUCUGAAUACGUGGAAUGUGAAAAAGAGAAAUGUCGAAACUUAAGAAUCAAAUCAUAUGCAUACAGUAACACCGAUAAUUGCCGAGUCCACUGGGCUUGCAAUUUGGGAAAGGCAACGGCAACUUGUUGCGCUGAGGGUUCAAGAUACGUACCAUACCGAGGCUGUGUGGAGGACUCCAAAUGUAAGGAUGUAUGCCCCCCGACAUUCCAUCAAGAGGGGCCAUGCGACACCAGAAUGAUAUUCAACAAGCCGAACAAAUUUGAGCAGUACGUGACCGGUUUUGGUUGGGUCGAAAUGCCCUGCGCUCCAGGAACCCAGUUCGACCCUAACACAUGCCAGUGCUCUCUGCAUGAUUCGUUCCUACCAGGAAAACAGUGCAAAGCGGAACUAUUCAUUCCGUUCAGCAGUGACACCAAUGACUAUUCGGGAAACAACAUCUAUGUGGAGAAUCAAAACGUGUCCGUUCUAGGAAACGGUCUUGGUUAUUUCAACGGCGAGAGUCGACUUAUAAUCAACCGCUUCGCCAAUAUAGACUUUUACACCGAUAUAGUGGUCAAGAUGAGAUUCCUCGAAGACACGCAAGCGACCGGCCUUCGCGCCAUGUUUAGCAAUGGCGACUGCUGCGACAAUCCGGCUACCAUGAUGAUGGUCAGUAGCAAAGCCAAUCUCCAUUUCAUGGCGAAAACAGAAGUUAAGAAAAACAAUACGGCGAUUGACAGAAUUACAACAUUUCAUAUCCCAGUCAUGUAUGGAAAUUGGAACGAGGCAUACUACAUGCAUAACACAAUGUCCUUGGAAGGAAAAGUGAAUGGAAUCGGUCUAGAAAAGAUGGCGUACGGACCGAUCAAGCGAUCUCAGGCGGCUCUUCAUAUAGGGUACGGAAGAGGGUUCCAGAAUUUCAAGGGUUACAUGGACUAUGUAGCGGUAUUCCUUUGUAGACCAAAGUAUUUGUAAGGAAAUCCACCCCAGUCCGCGUCUUUACUGUGAUAUUGUUUUUCGAAACAGACACUUCGAAGUUUCUUUUAAAAUCAUGUGCAAUAGCUUUCUUACAGGUAUUUUUUUUUUUAGAUGUAUGCUCAAUUUGUUUAAGUUUAUUUAUUAUUUUUUAUGUUCUGCUUUAUUUAUUGGUGUAAUUUACUAUUUAUUUGCUUUGAUUUAUGUAGAUGUAAUUUAUAUAAUCAUACAUGUUAUUUUUUGGUAAGAAAAUUAAACUGAAAAAUAAUAGAAAAU
rnacentral:misc_RNA from 1 species